rnacentral:rRNA from 1 species
UACAGAGGUCUCAAGCGUUUGUUCGGAUUCAUUGGGCGUAAAGGGUGCGUAGGCGGCGCGGUAAGUCGGGUGUGAAAUCUUGGAGCUUAACUCCGAAACUGCAUUCGAUACUGCCGUGCUUGAGGACUGGAGAGGAGACUGGAAUUUACGGUGUAGCGGUGAAAUGCGUAGAUAUCGUAAGGGAAGACCAGUGGCGAAGGCGGGUCUCUGGACAGUUCCUGACGCUGAGG